UACGUAGGGUGCGAGCGUUGUCCGGAAUUAUUGGGCGUAAAGAGCUCGUAGGCGGUCUGUCGCGUCGGUCGUGAAAACUUGGGGCUUAACCCUGAGCUUGCGGUCGAUACGGGCAUGACUGGAGUUCGGCAGGGGAGACUGGAAUUCCCGGUGUAGCGGUGAAAUGCGCAGAUAUCAGGAGGAACACCGGUGGCGAAGGCGGGUCUCUGGGCCGAUACUGACGCUGAGGAGCGAAAGCGUGGGGAGCGAACAGG
rnacentral:rRNA from 1 species